rnacentral:misc_RNA from 1 species
GAUGAAGAACGUAGCGAAAUGCGAUAACUAAUGUGAAUUGCAGAAUUCCGUGAAUCAUCGAGUCUUUGAACGCACAUUGCGCCCCCUGGUAUUCCGGGGGGCAUGCCUGUCCGAGCGUCAUUACAACCCUCAAGCUCAGCUUGGUGUUGGGCCCCGCCGCCCCGGCGGGCCCUAAAGUCAGUGGCGGUGCCGUCCGGCUCCGAGCGUAGUAAUUCUUCUCGCUCUGGAGGUCCGGUCGUGUGCUCGCCAGCAACCCCCAAUUUUUUUCAGGUUGACCUCGGAUCAGGUAGGGAUACCCGCUGAACUUAAGCAUAUCAAUAAGCGGAGGA